UACGUAGGGUGCGAGCGUUAAUCGGAAUUACUGGGCGUAAAGCGUGCGCAGGCGGUUUUGUAAGCCAGAUGUGAAAUCCCCGGGCUCAACCUGGGAAUGGCAUUUGGGACUGCAAGGCUGGAGUACGGCAGAGGAGACUGGAAUUCCUGGUGUAGCAGUGAAAUGCGUAGAGAUCAGGAGGAAUACCGAUGGCGAAGGCAGGUCUCUGGGCUGAUACUGACGCUCAUGCACGAAAGCGUGGGGAGCAAACAGGG
rnacentral:rRNA from 1 species